rnacentral:rRNA from 1 species
UCCUACGGGGGGCAGCAGUGGGGAAUAUUGCACAAUGGGGGGAACCCUGAUGCAGCGACGCCGCGUGGGCGAUGGAGUAUUUCGGUAUGUAAAGCCCUAUCGGCAGGGAAGAAAAUGACAGUACCUGACUAAGAAGCCCCGGCUAACUACGUGCCAGCAGCCGCGGUAAUACGUAGGGGGCAAGCGUUAUCCGGAUUCACUGGGCGGAAAGGGAGCGCAGGGGGCACGGCAAGCCUGGGGUGAAAACCCGGGGCCCAACCCCGGGGGGGCAUUGGGAACUG